rnacentral:lncRNA from 1 species
AGAGGGGCGCAUGCCUUCCUGGGGUGAGGACGCUGCCAGGCUCCCAGCUCUGGAGUCACCGCCCCGUGCUAGGGGCAAGAGGUGAGGAGGCGGGUUCCCCGGCACCGCUCCUCCGAUGCCUGCACCGGCACCCAGCUCCAUCCCCAGGGAAAGAGUACAGGGGACCUAGAUGGCUGGAGAAGGGGCAACUUUCCUGCCGAGGUGGAAGUGGCAACAUAGGGGUUGGAAGUGGGUACUGCUGCCAAUUGGGAACCUGGGUUCCUUCUUUUCCUUCCUUCUCGCCCUCCUACCCUCCCCCUCUCCUUCCUCCCCUCCACCUUUCCUCCCUUCCUUCCAUUUCACCCUCCUGCCCUUCCUCCCUGCCUUCUGCCCUGCGACCUCCUUUCCUUGCCUUACCCGUUCAUUGAUUCAACCCAGGUCUGAUCUGUGCUGGUAGGUAACAGGUACAUAGUGAGUUAAUGCUCAAUAUAUAUUUAUGUCUAAUGAAUAGAUAAUAGGAGCUUGGUAAAUUAAAUGAAAGAAGGAAAUGAAGUGAUUGGAGACCAAAAUGAGUCAGACUAUUCCCUGUCCCCCAAGUACCUUAUAUUUUAAUGGGGGAAACAAAAUGUGAUCAUCUCUUAGAGACCAAUGUUUUUGAAAUUACCACUUUAAAAUUAUUUAUACACACACACACAUACACACGUUGUGAUGGAAAGCAUAUUUGUUACUAUGGGUAACAGUAAAAAGCAAGUUAGAAAACCACUGACCUGGAGCAUAAAAAUAGGUAUGUAGAGUUUGCUAUAGGCCAGGCAGAGUUCUAAGUGCUGAAAAAUUCCAGUUCAUUUAAUCUUCAUGACCGCCUUAUAAUGUACAGACUUUUAUUAUUUACCAAAAGGAAACUGAGGCACAAAGUGCUCAAGUAACUUGCUGGGGAUCUCAGCUGAGAAGCAGAAAAGCCAGGAUCAAACUCGUGCUGUCAGUGGUCACAUUAAGCCGCCUGGCAUUUUACACUGAAAUAAACUGCUCCUGGGCAGUGAGGGUGUGGGGCUACUGAGAAAGCAGUGAUUGGUUCUGCCAGUGGUGCUCACCGGCUUCCUGGAGGAGGCAGCUUUUAAGAAUUGUUAUGUAUGGAGUCGUCAGCAUGGGCCAGACACUGUGCUAACCCCUUUCCAGGCACUGUCUCAUCGAAGCCUCCUAGGAGACAGAUAUCCUUACUCUUUCCAUGCUACAGAUAAGAGGAAACUGUUAUUUUUAAAAAUUUUAUCAUGAGAUAAUUUUAGACUUAUAGAAGAGUUACGAAAAUAGUAUAGAGAGUUCCCAUAUACCUGUCACCAGCUUCCCUUAAUGUUAACAUCUUGUAUAGGAAUAGAAAAAACUGUCCUUUAAAUACUCUGAGACACUUGCUCCCAAGGUUGCACAGCUAGUGAACGAGGGUGCCAGGUGUAAACCGAGCUGCUCUGACCCCAAGCCUGUCCUCCUACCUACGACCCUCCACUGUCUACUUGCGGACCUCUAGCUGGGCCUCUAAGGAUGGGUUCUCCCAGCAUGGGGCUUCCUCUAAUUUGCUGGAUGACUUUAAACAAGUUGCUUACUCUACAUAAGGAUCAAUUUCUUUGUCAAAUGCAACAGCCCCUUCUCCAAGGGGUCGGGAUCGGGUUGGGGAAGGGAGAGGUUAAAAGAGAAAGGGAAAUGUGAGACACAGCAAAUGUAACAAGCCACGUUUGCUCAUUUUACUUGCUGCAUAAUUUCACAAGCCCUUGAUUCUGUAAUGAUGUGCACCUCUCUGGAAAAAUGCUUUGAAAACAAAGCAGGAUACAGCACAAGGCCCCCACAACUUUUGCCUGAGACACUAUAUUUCUUAAAAGAUAAAUGACCCUAGACCUUGCCUAUUCCUACACAUAGGAUAAUGUUUGACAAGGUUAGUGACUAUGCCUCUAUCAUCUAUAACCAGAUAUACUCUUGCACCCAGACUUUCAUGUGAUUCUGCUUUACUGUAACUUCUGAGCAAGUUUGAUGUAAUGUUUGAGCACAUACUGCACUUCUGCUACGUGUAUAUCAGCUAUGAGCUAAAACACUGUUUCAGAGCAGUGGGACAGGACCUCUCUGAAAGACUCCUCCCAGACUUUGUCUUCAGUCUCUAGUCCUCAGUAAGACUUCUGCUUUUUUUUUUUUUUUUUUUUUUGAGACAGAGUCUCACUCUGUUGCCCAGGCUGGAGUGCAGUGGCUCGACCUCGGCUCACUGCAAGCUCCGCCUCCCAUGUUCAAGCGAUUCUCCCACCUCAGCUUCCGGAGUAGCUGGGAUUACAGGCGCCCACCACCACGCCCAGCUAAUUUUUGUAUUUUUAGUAGAGACAGUGUUUCACCAUGUUAGCCAGGCUGAUCUCAAACUCCUGACUUCAGGUGUUCCACCUGCCCCGGCCUCCCAAAAUGCUGGGAUUACAGAACCUCAGUAAGACUUCUGAAUAAAACUAACUUUAAUUCCUUAAAAGCUUGAUUUUCUUUUAGUUGACAGAAGUCAUAGCCAUUGCCAACAGAAUAUAUCCAAGUCUGCAGGUGAGUGUGCCCAGGCCCGCCUCUAACUUUGGAGGUGUGUGGUACCACCGUUCAGGUAGAGGGGAACACCUCCAAGACUAUAUGAAUUUGAACACAGAGCAGCAAGACACUAGAUGAUUGGCCCUAUUCGGAAGUGAGACUUCAUGAUGAAAAAAUAUAUGCAUCCAUGCUACCUGCAAGGGAGAAUUUGACAAGAGAAUUCAACUUAUCUUUCUCUUCUCUAAGCAUUUCUGCUGUUCAGCUCCUCCUUGUGCUAUAAAACGGAGUCAGCACUGAACCUGGAGUGGUACAGUCCUCAAACCCUCACUGCAUUCAAACUUGACUGCUUUUAUUCCAAGAACAUAGGGUGAGAGAUUCGGAGUAUUUCCCUCUGGUCUGACCUUUUUUCUUCCUCGCUUUAUUGAAGUAUGACUGACAAAUGAAAGUUAUAUAUAUUUAAAAUGUACAACAUAAUGAUUUGAUAUAGGUGUACAUCGUGAAUGAUAACGACGAUUAAGCUAAUUAAUACAUCUAUCACCUCACUUAGUUAUAUUGUGCGUGUGUGUGCAUACAUGCGUGUAUGUUGAGAACACUUUAAAUAGUGGCUUCUCUUAGUGGCCUUUUUGAAUCACAAGAGAGGAUGUUUCAGAUUGUAGUUGCCAGAGCUAAGCCCAGAUCCUGAGAGACAGAUGCACAUAUAUGUUCUUUAAUGCAUUUAUUUUUGUAUGUGUUUGUGAUUUGUGGAACCUCUAAAUUUUAGGGUCAGGGAAGGGGCCUCCUUGUCAGGGGUUAAGGGCAAUAUUGAGUUUAUCCUAUGCUUCAAGACCGGCCUUUUCAGAGUCAGGAGAAUCUCAUGUUUUAGGGCAGUGGCAUGAGGGGAAGGAGGCUAGGAUCCACUGCAGGGACUUUCACAACCUCACUGGGCCUCAGGCUCCCCAUCUGUUCUAAAAGGGGGCUGGGCCUCAACAGGGCUGGCAUCAGAGCAUCUUGCCAGUGUAGACAUAAAGGGCCCCAUUGAACUGCAGUCUUCUCGGCUGCUUCCUGACAAAGCCCUUUUCUCCUCUAGCCACAAUGGCCCUGUCAGGCAGGUAGCAGGGCCUGCAGCUUUGUCUCCCCAGAAAAGAACAACAGGGUUCACUGUCUGUUCCAGGCUCAGUCUCCCUGAGGAGGGUGGGUGGCUUACGAAGGGUCUAACAAGCCAGGGACAGAUGGGUUCUGCCCUUAGCCAGCCAGCGACUGGUGACCCAGCCGCAGCUCUUUCGGUCAGUUAUUCUGGGAUGAGUAGGAAAACAAAUUCACCAAAACCCAAGUUUUUAAAAACUUGACUUUUCCAAGUGCAUGUCCAGAUGUUUUAGGUUACAGAGCUGUGCCGUCCAAUAUGGCAGCUACCAGCUGCAUGUGGCUUUUGAGAACUUGAUGAGCCGCUAAUCUGAAUCGUGAUGUGCUAUAAGUAGAAAACAGGCUCAGUUAGCAUUUUGGACUAGAUCGUUCUUUGUUGCUGGAGGCUGUCCUGUGCUCGUAGAAUGUUUAGCAGCACCCCUGGCCUCUACCCUCUGGAUGCCAGCGGCACACACACCCCUGCACCCCGACACCCACCCCAGUUUUGACAAUCAAAAACACCCCCAGACAAUUGCCAAAAUCACUCUGGGUUGAGAACCACUCAGAUUUCAAAAACUUAGUAAGGAAAAAAAAGGAAAAUCUCAUUAAUGAUUUUUAAAUAUUGAUUACAUGUUAAAAUGAUAAUAUUUUGGAUGCAUUGGGCUAAGUAAAAACAUUAUUAAAUUAUUUUUCCUAUUCUUUUCACUCUUUAUAAAGUGGCUACUAAACUGUUUAAAAUUACAUAUGUAGCUCAUGUUAUGUUUCUUUUGGGCAGUGCUGUUAAUGGAAGAAACUGAGUGCCAGAGAGGGAAAGUGACCAACAGAAGGUCACAGAGCAACAGAGAGGCAGUCCGGGCCCCAGUCAGGUUUUCAGACUGGCACCUGUAGGAUAAAUGCACCUGGUAGCAAUAACUUAAGCAUACGCUUACAAUGAGCCUGUACAGAAGACACACCUGAAUGUCUGUUCUAAGCUCGGGAAUCUGGGAGUAGCCAACCUGGAGACUCGUUUCUUGUCUAUGAGGAACAUCUGAGCCCCUUGCCUAUCCCAUGGAAUAUGGGCUGUACAGAAGAUCCAAGCCCUGAGGUUUGAGUUGGAUGAAGGUUGCCAGGUGGAGGUCGUUAAGGGGAGGGUGUUAAGUGAAGAUGGAAUAUAAACUGCAUGUGGUUUGCAAGUGGUUGUGGUUUUCCUGCCCAGCCCUUCGCCACUGGGUUAUCUUGUCCAGCCCACCGCGGCCGGACUGUAGGUAAAGAGGACAUCGUGUCUAGCCUGUCACCAGUGGACCUUUUCUGUAGGUAAAGAUGAUGUGGUGUCCUUACCUGUCCUAGCCUGUUGUCAGUGGGCGGGUUUUCCUGUCCAGCUCACCACCACUGGACUUUCUUCCCUGUAUGUAAGCUGCCAAUCAAACCCCACCUCUCAUUUGCUGGCUCUGGGUCUCUUCUUCAGCCCCUUGAACCUGGUGCCUUCCCUAUUGAGGUGAAUAGGAGUUCGGCACAAUAGCACUCCAGAACAACUCUGCUGCUCCAUACAGCUUCACAAUGGAAAGGAAAUCCAGAAAUCAGUGCAUUGCGUCUUUCCAGUGUGCUAUGGUCAAAGAGCACUACAGCAGGAAUAGAGAGGAGAGACAUUACGUCUGCGGCUCACAUUAUGUUUAAUCUUCAUUUAAUCUUUGCAACAACCCUAGUAAGAGACUUUGUUGUUAAGCCUGUUUUCCAGAUGAGGAAACUGAAGUCCUGUGAGGACUCUUAGCCUGCAAGUUGAGAAACUAAGAAUCAAACCCAAAUACUUCUUUUAAUACUACACAUACUGUCGUGCAGUCCUAGGUCUAGUGAGACCUGGAUAGGUCUCACCUCUUCUCCUUACAUCCAACCUGGAUAAGAGGACCGCGCAAGAUAUAGUCUGAAGUCCUUCCCAGCCCUGCUGAGCUGGUCUUCUGGGUAGGGUGGGGAAAGACAGAUGGUUGUCACCUCCUUCAGGCUGACAGGGAGUCAUGGAAUCUGGAUGGUCAGCAUGCAGAGGCUGGCCCACCCCUUUUCAGGUGUGUCCCUGGGAUGGCUGCUGUCCUCAUAAAUAGCUUUGCUGACGUCAGAAAUAAGGCUUGGAAUGGACAAGUGUAUUUUUGCUCUGGUUCUAAGAAGAGCACCAUGCCUAACGAUGGGAUCCACUGGCAUCGAUAAUGAUUACUAACCCACCACUCUACCGAGUUCUGUGUGCUAAGCACUUAGCAGAUAUUACCUCAUGUGCUCUUACAAUUCCUUACUCUGGUACCACUUUAAAUCCCAUCCUACAGAUGAAGAAACUGAGGCUCAGAGACGUGAAGUGACUUUCAUAAGGUCACACACAGUGACAGAGAAUUUCAAACUGGGAUUGUGCAUUCCCACAGCAGUUCCUUUAACUAAGGCACUGGUUUGAUGAGGCCACUGGUUUGAAGAUUAGUCCCCUUCCUGACCCUCCUCUGUAUGGGAAGACUGGGGCCAGCCAGACACAACAUGGGGCAACUAUAUAACCUUCUCGUCGGCCCUUAGCCAGAGUCAGAGUUGAAGAGGCUCACCUAAUCCAACCCCCUUUGUUUGAAGUUGUGGGGAAACUGAGAUACAGAGAGGGGCAAGGUUAUGUCCAACACCACUCAGCUAAUUUGUGGCAGAAUCAGUACUUGACUCAAAGUCACUGGAAUCCCAACCCAGCACUUUUAUCUCUCUCUUUGCUUUCUUUCUUUUUUCUUUUUUUGGAGACAGGGUCUCACUCUAUCACCCAGGCUAGAGUGCAGUGGCGUGAUCUCAGCUCACUGCAACCUCCAACACCCAGGCUCAAGCAAUUCUCUCACCUCAGCCUCCAGAGUAGCUGGGAUUACAGGUGUGUGCCACCAUGCCCAGCUAAUUUUUAUACUUUUAGUAGAGACAGGGUUUCACUAUGUUGGCCAGGCUGGUCUCAAAUUCCUGACCUCAAGUGAUCCACCUGCCUCGGCCUCCCAAAGUGCUAGGAUUACAGGCAUGAGCCACCGCACCUGGCCUGUUUCUUUGCUUUCUUUCUAAGAAAGGACAGACUUUAGGACAAGUCAUGAGUUAAUAGUUUUUGGCCACUUUUAAAAGAUAAGCCAAUGCACUAAGGUUUUCACGGGUAUUAUCCCAUUUAAUCCUCAAAACAAGCCUAAGAAUUAGGGACUGCUAUUAUUCCCAUUUUAGAGAUAAGAAAACUGAGGCUCAGGGAGGUUGAGAAACUUGUCUUCUAUUAAAUAGUGGAGCCAUAACAAAACCCAGCAGACUAAUUCUAGAGCCAGUUUCUUCUCAGGCUGAUCCAACUGCAUCUAUGGGAUUCUCCCAUCAGAACAUCUGCCUGCAGGUGGAAGACUGUCAAAUUACUGUAGAAGGCAGGGCUCACGUCAACGCAUGUAUGUGGAAGUGCAGCAUUGCUUGGCCUUGAUGUGGGUGUGCACAGAGCCUAAUGCACUUAAAGUAUGUAUAAGAACUUCAGAUCUUGUCGAAAACCAGCUAUAGUUAAAACAAUAAUAUUGAUAUGAACUAUUACUUGUUGCCCAACUUCCAUGUUGCAGGUUCUUUAUGUGUAUUGCCUCUGAGCCUUACAGCAACCCCAUGUUAGGAUACCUUCAUGGUAACUUCAUAAAGUUACCCAAAUUUUACAGCCGAUGGCAGUGAGACUUUGUGAGGUGAAGUGACUUGCUCAGGUUCACACAGAGAAUAAGUAGCUAAGCUGGGAUUCAAGCAGGUUCCCAAAGCACCUGCCACUCUGUCUUCCUUGUUUCCUGACGUUUGCUUCUCACUGGCAACCGUAAGGGCAGAAAUCUCCCGGUGGAGGAUUGAGGAGGACUGUAGUUAACGAUCGUCCCCUGGGCCUGUGUGGACCUACAGCAUUUGGUAUACGGGAACAGGGAGGGUGGGAACACAGUGAGCUUUGAAUGUGGCCAGAGGGAAGACUGAUUCUAAAGUUAACUUGAACAUGAACAACAAACUUAGGCUCUGUUUUCCCUUUCAGUUAAAAACAAACAAACAAACAAACAAACAAACAAACAACCAUCUCAGACUCUGCUGUUUGACAGGCUGGUAUAAAAACAGACAGGAGAUAUCAGUUCCGGUCCCUGUUCUGUCACUAACACACUGGGACCUGUGGCAGUUCCUUUCCAUUUGGGCCUAUCUUCCCAAUAUACCCAAUGGAAAUGAAGAACUAGAUCAGUGGUGCUUAAAACUUUUUUUUUUUUUUUUUUUUUUUUGGUGAUAUGGGGGUAGACAGCAAGCCUUUUUUUCAAAUAGAAAGUUACAUGGAAGGGCAACAUAUGAACUUAUUUCAAGAGCAACUGCUUUCAUUGAUUCAGGCCCAGAGCCUAGAACCUUGCCCCCUCGGCCUCCAUGUUGUCUCUUUGCUGCCCCUCCCCUGUGACAGCCGCGGAGGCAUCCCCCACCUAUGCUAGGACUUGGAAGAUCCCAGGUUGACAGCAGGGGCCAUGUGGCUUCUUAUGCAUACAGCAUGUGCACUGGCCAUGGCAUUUAUGGAAUGCUCCCUGUAUAGAGAGGCUCAUAAAGGGUUGCCUAUAGGUUCAGGACUUUCUCAGUUCUCCAGACCCAUUUGUCAGGGCCUUAGGCCAUGGGCAUGCUGUUGCCAAGUGGGUCUGAAUGCUUAUGCAUGGGUGGUAGGGUCUGAGUUCCAAGGGGAAAUUCCCACUCACUCCUGAGUGGCAUGUGAUGUGAGGCAUGGAGAGGAAGAGAGGUUUUAUUUGCAAGUUCAGAUAAAAUUGGCUUAGCCUCCUUCAGGGAUCCUGGAGAGAAAGAGCAGGUUUGGGGUUGUGUAGGGGUCUCAAUUUAGCCACACACAAUAGCUGUGUGGCGUUAGGUAAGUUACUUACCCUUUCUGGGUCUCUGCUCUAUGAUCUGUAAAACACGAAUAAUGAUGAGGAUAAUGAUAUAAUAAAGUGACUUCUUUUGUUGUUGUUGUUGUUGUUGUUGAGAUGGAGUUUUGCUGUUGUUGCCCAGGCUGGAGUGAAAUGGCAUGAUCUUGGCUCACCACGACCUCCGCCUCCUGGGUUCAAGCGAUUCUCCUGCCUCAGCCUCCCGAGAAGCUGGGAGUACAGGCUUGUGCCACCACGCCCGGCUAAUUUUGUGUUUUUAGUAGAGAUGGGGUUUCUCCAUGUUGGUCAGGCUGGUCUCGAACUCCCAACCUCAGGUGAUCCACCCGCCUUGGCCUCCCAAAGUGCUGGGAUUACAGGCGUGAGCCACAGCGCCCGGCAAUGCAGUGACUUCUUACUGUAUGCUUACUAUGUGCAGAUUCUAUGUAAGUGCCUCUCAUGCAUUAUAUCAGCAAAGCCACAUGAUAACCAUAUUAGGUAGAUGUUGUGUUAUCCAUUUUGCCAAGGAGAAAACUGAAGCAUAGAACAGUUAAGCAACUUGCCCAAGUUCACACAGCUAUAGCUAUCAAGUAACAUAGCUAAGAUGCAAACUCAUGUUUAUCAGACUCCAAAGCCUACAUUUUCAUCUGCAACAUUAUCCUACCUUCUUCAAAUAAAACCUCCUUCAAAGGGCUGUUUUGAGAAUCAUGAAAAAAAAUCUAAGUCUUAGUCACAGAGCUGGCAUAUAGUAAAUGCUCAGCAAAUGAGUUCCCUUUCCUCAUCUCCAUAUUAACCAAAAGUCUCCUGCAGGCUUGAAGGAGUUGAUGAUUGUUUAUAAGUUCCUUUUUUUCUAGCAGGUGAAAAUAGGGAGAAAGAAGAGAAUUCUCUCCGAUUUCAGGAAAUAUGACUUUUUUCCUGCAAACAACUCUUUUUAUUUUAAUAUUUAGACUGGGUCUUGCUAUAUUGCCCAGGCUGGAGUACAGUGGGGCAAUCAUAGCUCACUACAGCCUCUAACUCCUGGGCUCAAGUGACCCUUCUGCCUCAGCCUCCCGAGUAGCUGGGACUAUAGGCGAGUGCCCCUACACCUGGCUAUUUUUUAUUUAAAUUAAUUCUUUGAAGAGACAGGGUCUUGCUAUGUUGCCCAGGCUAGUGUUGAACUCCUGGGCACAAGUGAUCCUCCUGUCUCAGCCUCCCAAAGUGCUGAGAUUACAGGGAUUAACCACUGUGCCUAGCCCAAAUAAACUUCUAAAAUGAGUGUUUACCAAUCUGUGUUCCAUGGAAUACUAUUCCACAUCGUUCUGUGUUCAAUAAAGUUUGAGAAAUGCUAUAUCCUCAGCUCCUCUCUUGAAGAGGCCCAUUGUACAUUAGCAUAUUAAAGGCACUGAUAAAUCCUGCUGCAAAGAGUUCCACCUAAUUUAGCUUAACCCUGCCCCCCGCCAUAAUACAUAUUAGCAUGUUUUUCUAAAGAACACACAUAGAAGAGAAGCUGAUUCUUGUCCAUUUAUGCACAUAAGGCAAUUAAGGGCCAGAAAGCUUUGAGUUUAGAGCUUAGGUCGCACAGCUAUCCAGUAGUAAAUACUUUUGUAAAUGAAGACUUAUUCUCAAAUCCAUUGCUGAGAUGCAGGGUAGAGUGGCAAGUAAAAGAAGGAAACUCAAGUCAAAUAACGUGAGUUUAUAUCCUGCCUCCACCAUUCUUGAGCCUUGUGACCUUGAGCAGUUUGCUUAACCAUCCUGGGCCUCAAUCUCCUCAUCAGUUACAUGAGGUAAUAUGAUACAUACCUCAUGAUGCUAAUUUGGGGAACCAGUGAGUUAAUACAUGAAAAGUAUUUAGAACAGCACCACACAUGAAGUUAGUUAUCAGUAUGCCUGUUGGAAUUUUGCAUAAAAGGAAGUCCACCUGAGUAUACAUGGUACCGGAGGCCUGCUGUUUGAGAGCGCCUGCUGCCUGCCGGGGCUCACAGGGCCUUGCUGGAGGGAGGCCAGGCCUUGGCUUGCAGCUCUGGAGAGGGCUGUUUUCCAGCCAAAGCUCCCAGGAGGUGACAGCUCCUGUCCUCCCUCCCCUACCAGUUCCAGGGCCAGGCCUCUUGGGUGUGGCCAGAUCAGACAAUAUCCACAUUUCUGUUUCUUCUCCCUGUCUCCGACGCCCAGAGGAAUCCUUGUUGGAACUGACAAUUUGAGGCUAGAUCAGUCUGGAAGAAGGAGCUGAAAUAAGCAGUAUAGCAUCGUACAAGGAGCACCAGCUUUUGAGCCAGAUAGUACUGGCACCAAACCCAGGCUAUGACACUUCCCAGUUGCAUAAUUUUGGCCAAGUCACUUAAUUCCUUUGAGUCUCAGUUUCUUCAUUUGUAACACGUGCAUAAUAAUGGUACCUACUUUCUAAGUGUGCUGUGAAGUAUGAAUAACAGCUAAUGUUUAAUAAAUGCUUACUACAUGCCAUGCACUGUUCUAGCAGCCAGGGAUAGCUAAUGUCAUAAUAGACAAGUUACCUGCUCUCAUGGAGCUCAUUUCUAUUAAUAGAAGGGGCAGAUAUGACACAAGU